rnacentral:rRNA from 1 species
AUUCUAGGAGCAAGGCUAGACAGCACCCUCGCAGCUUGCUGCUUGGGGCUACCCGACUUCGGUCAGGUUUAGAGUCGUCAGGCCUCUCGGAGAAGCCUGGUCCUGAACUCCACCCUUGAAUAAAUUACCUUUGUUGCUUUGGCAGGCCGCCUCGUGCCAGCGGCUUCGGCUGUUGAGUGCCUGCCAGAGGACCACAACUCUUGUUUUUAGUGAUGUCUGAGUACUAUAUAAUAGUUAAAACUUUCAACAACGGAUCUCUUGGUUCUGGCAUCGAUGAAGAACGCAGCGAAAUGCGAUAAGUAAUGUGAAUUGCAGAAUUCAGUGAAUCAUCGAAUCUUUGAACGCACAUUGCGCCCUCUGGUAUUCCGGGGGGCAUGCCUGUUCCAGCGUCAUUAUAACCACUCAAGCUCACGCUUGGUAUUGGGGUUCGCGGAUUCGCGGCCCCUAAAAUCAUUGGCGGGGCCUGUCGGCUCUACGCGUACUAAUACUCCUCGCGAUUGAGUCCGGUGGUUUACUUGCCAGCAACCCCCAAUUUUUACAGGUUGACCUCGGAUCAGGUAGGGAUACCCGCUGAACUUACCAUAUCAA